UACGUAGGGUCCGAGCGUUGUCCGGAGUGACUGGGCGUAAAGCGCGCGCAGGCGGCCUGUUAGGCGCGACGUGAAAGCCCCGGGCUCAACCCGGGAGGGUCGUCGCGAACCGGCGGGCUUGAGGCCGGUAGAGGUGGGUGGAACUCCUGGUGGAGUGGUGAAAUGCGUAGGGAUCAGGAAGAACACCCGUGGCGAAGGCGGCCCACUGGGCCGGUGCUGACGUUGAGGCGCGAAGGCGUGGGGAGCGAACGGG
rnacentral:rRNA from 1 species